GAUGAACGCUGGCGGCGUGCCUAAUACAUGCAAGUCGAGCGAACGGACGAGAAGCUUGCUUCUCUGAUGUUAGCGGCGGACGGGUGAGUAACACGUGGAUAACCUACCUAUAAGACUGGGAUAACUUCGGGAAACCGUAGCUAAUACCGGAUAAUAUUUUGAACCGCAUGGUUCAAAAGUGAAAGACGGUCUUGCUGUCACUUAUAGAUGGAUCCGCGCUGCAUUAGCUAGUUGGUAAGGUAACGGCUUACCAAGGCAACGAUGCAUAGCCGACCUGAGAGGGUGAUCGGCCACACUGGAAUGGAGACACGGUCCAGACUCCUACGGGAGGCAUCAGUAGGGAAUCUUCCGCAAUGGGCGAAAGCCUGACGGAGCAACGCCGCGUGAGUGAUGAUGGUCUUCGGAUCGUAAAACUCUGUUAUUAGGGAAAAACAUAUGUGUAAGUAACUGUGCACAUCUUGACGGUACCUAAUCAGAAAGCCACGGCUAACUACGUG
rnacentral:rRNA from 1 species